rnacentral:sRNA from 1 species
UAUGCAAGUACUUAGUGUUACAGGCACCUUGGUUGUUGAAAUUAAAAAUAUGCUUCUCUUCUGACAUGAAUCUUCUUCUGCAAUAGAAGAAGAAUCAUUUGACUACGGGACAUUUCUUUGAAAGCUGAAGAAAACAAGAUGAGAAAAUCAGGACCCUAAUAUUAACUUUGUCUUUAUAAAAGGCAGUACAUAUAUAAUCUAAUGAGAAUAAAUAACUACUACAGGGAGAUGGAUGAGGUCAUACUCAGAAAGAAAAGUUCAUCCGUAGAAUCUUGAAGGAAAGAAAAGACUAAAGCAUGAACUCUGGAAGGGUACUGUCAGGGAAGCAUAUGGCAUUUGGUGGUAGGGUAUAAGGAAGGUUCAUCAGUCUCCAAUGGCAACAAGAGACACCUCUUCACACAGCUGGCUGGUCUUGGUUUUCACUGGAGAAAAAAAUUCAGGAUGAGUCAAUACCAAGCAGAGUUGGAAUUAAUUUUUUAAACAAAUUAAUUUAAGCAUGGGGUAGUGGGGUGUAGCUGGGCAUUAAUUACAGCAGUGUUACCCUCCAAACAGUGAAGCAUCGCCUAAUCAAAAAGGUGCAUGAAGUUCUAGUGGAGAUCAAAAGAGGGCAUUAAUUUCUCUUGAACUGGAGUCAAAGAUGGUUGUGAGCCACCAGUGACAGGAGGAAGUGAAUGUCAUUACCUUCAUGCAUGACAAUGUUACAGUGAAACACAUUGCAAUAUUCUAAUACCACAGGAAGCUCAAGAAGAAGGAUGACCAAAAUGUGGAUGCUCCCACUCCUUCUUAAAAGGGGAAAGAA